rnacentral:rRNA from 1 species
AGAGUUUGAUCCUGGCUCAGGACGAACGCUGGCGGCGUGCUUAACACAUGCAAGUCGAACGGAAAGGCCCCUUUUUUGGGGUGCUCGAGUGGCGAACGGGUGAGUAACACGUGGGUGACCUGCCCUGCACUUCGGGAUAAGCCUGGGAAACUGGGUCUAAUACCGGAUAGGACCAUUCUGCGCAUGUGGGGUGGUGGAAAGCGUUUGGUAGCGGUGUGGGAUGGGCCCGCGGCCUAUCAGCUUGUUGGUGGGGUGAUGGCCUACCAAGGCGACGACGGGUAGCCGGCCUGAGAGGGUGUCCGGCCACACUGGGACUGAGAUACGGCCCAGACUCCUACGGGAGGCAGCAGAAGGG